rnacentral:rRNA from 2 species
GAGUGAGUGGCGAACUGGUGAGUAACACGUGGGAAACCUGCCCAGAAGCGGGGGAUAACACCUGGAAACAGAUGCUAAUACCGCAUAACAACUUGGACCGCAUGGUCCGAGUUUGAAAGAUGGCUUCGGCUAUCACUUUUGGAUGGUCCCGCGGCGUAUUAGCUAGAUGGUGGGGUAACGGCUCACCAUGGCAAUGAUACGUAGCCGACCUGAGAGGGUAAUCGGCCACAUUGGGACUGAGACACGGCCCAAACUCCUACGGGAGGCAGCAGUAGGGAAUCUUCCACAAUGGACGAAAGUCUGAUGGAGCAACGCCGCGUGAGUGAAGAAGGGUUUCGGCUCGUAAAACUCUGUUGUUAAAGAAGAACAUAUCUGAGAGUAACUGUUCAGGUAUUGACGGUAUUUAACCAGAAAGCCACGGCUAACUACGUGCCAGCAGCCGCGGUAAUACGUAGGUGGCAAGCGUUGUCCGGAUUUAUUGGGCGUAAAGCGAGCGCAGGCGGUUUUUUAAGUCUGAUGUGAAAGCCUUCGGCUCAACCGAAGAAGUGCAUCGGAAACUGGGAAACUUGAGUGCAGAAGAGGACAGUGGAACUCCAUGUGUAGCGGUGAAAUGCGUAGAUAUAUGGAAGAACACCAGUGGCGAAGGCGGCUGUCUGGUCUGUAACUGACGCUGAAGGCUCGAAAGUAUGGGUAGCAAACAGGAUUAGAUACCCUGGUAGUCCAUACCGUAAACGAUGAAUGCUAAGUGUUGGAAGGGUUUCGCCCUUCAGUGCUGCAGCUAACGCAUUAAGCAUUCCGCCUGGGGGAGUACGGCCGCAAG